rnacentral:rRNA from 1 species
CUCCUUCGGGAGUACUCGAGCGGCGAACGGGUGAGUAACACGUGGGUAAUCUGCCCAGGACACAGGAAUAACCAGUGGAAACGCUGGCUAAUGCCUGAUGAAGUGCCGGCCUUGCGGGGCUCGGUACCAAAGGUAGCUUCGGCCUCCGGUCUUGGAUGAGCCCGCGGCCCAUUAGCUUGUUGGCGGGGUAACGGCCCACCAAGGCGACGAUGGGUAGCUGGUCUGAGAGGACGAUCAGCCACACUGGGACUGAGACACGGCCCAGACUCCUACGGGAGGCAGCAGUGGGGAAUCUUGCGCAAUGGGCGAAAGCCUGACGCAGCAACGCCGCGUGCGGGAAGAAGGCCUUCGGGUUGUAAACCGCUUUCAGCGGGGAAGAAGGCGAGCGGGUUAAUAGCCCGUCAGCUGACGGUACCCGCAGAAGAAGGUCCGGCUAACUACGUGCCAGCAGCCGCGGUAAUACGUAGGGACCGAGCGUUGUCCGGAAUCAUUGGGCGUAAAGAGCGUGUAGGCGGCCACUUAAGUCCUGCGUGAAAUCCUGCGGCUCAACCGCAGGCGGUCGUGGGAAACUGGGUGGCUAGAGUGCGGGAGAGGAGAGUGGAAUUCCUGGUGUAGCGGUGGAAUGCGCAGAUAUCAGGAAGAACACCCGUGGCGAAGGCGGCUCUCUGGAACGCAACUGACGCUGAGACGCGAAAGCGUGGGGAGCAAACAGGAUUAGAUACCCUGGUAGUCCACGCCGUAAACGAUGGAUGCUAGGUGUGGGCGGUGUCGACUCCGUCCGUGCCGAAGCUAACGCAUUAAGCAUCCCGCCUGGGGAGUACGGCCGC